rnacentral:ncRNA from 2 species
AUAAUCCACACUCCAACAGGAGCCCCGCCGCACCCGCGUGCUUGGGGUGAAACGGGAAGUCCGGUGACCUCACACCCCUGGUGUGGAGCAUUCCGGCGCAGCCCCCGCUGCUGUAAGCCUGACAGACACACUUCGAUGCCACUGGGAGCCCCCCGGGAAGGCGGUGUGCGCUGUAUGACGGCAAGCCAGAAUACCGACCUGUUGGCACGCAGUUGU